UGUGAACCCGGGAGGCGGAGCUUGCAGUGAGCCGAGAUUGCGCCGAGAUUGCGGCACUGCACUCCAGCCUGGGCGACAGAGCGAGACUCCAUCUCAAAAAAAAAGAAGCAAAACCCGAGGUCACAGGCUGGGUGAUCGUCUAUCACGUUGUUAAGUUUUCUGUUGUAUGUAAUUAGCAAAUGAACCUCUGCGGAAGAUUUCAUAGCUCAUCAGGCGACCACUUCCAUUUGGAGAGGCUUCACUGAAAGCCCAUAAAGACCACUGACAAGAACCAGGAAAGUUGGAAAGUGGAAUCUGAAAGACCCCUUGCUUCCUUGCUUUCAAGCAUAGUAGCUUCCUUGUUGGGGUCUUUCUCAGUGGACGGGGGAGAGUCGGGGGGCAAGAGCAGCGGCCAGCGAACCUGGUGGAUGGGGCCCAGGUGCAAAGCAAAUCCUGCCUCUGCCACUCACCUGCUGGAUGACCUUGGAACCUUCAUGUUUGAGCCUCAGUUUCCCUGUUUGCAAAAUGGUAAUUAUAUGACCUUCGUAGCAUUGCCACGUGGGCGUAAUUACUGAGUUGAACCACCCCUUCCCCCACCACAACCCACAACAGUGGUGAGCAAACAUUUGAUGCUCAAUAAACGUGAACUUUUCUUCCUUUGUCUUCCUGGGUGGUCCAGGGAAGCCAUCCCCAGUCUCUUGGGGACCGUGACACACCUCUCCAGGAGUUGUUUCUUAGCAGUAGUCCCCUCUGCCACUCACUGGACCAACAGAAACAAAUCAAUAAUCAAGUCCAGGGGUCACAAACAUGGAUGCUGCCAGGCCAGGUAGACACACCCGAGCCAGGGGGUCAGAUGCUGGUGACCUGGACUGCAUGGCCUUGCCUGCUUGGCUCCAGCUGCUGUGGCCAGAUGGGAACAAAGCCCCACUGGGGCCAAUUCCUCUGGUUUUCCAGACUCCCCUCAUCCACCUUUCUUGGGAUAAAACCUAAUAGAUAAAUAAUGGCAAUAAAAUUCAACUUUUAAAAACUGUAAAAAACAACCUACAGUGAGCCAAAACAACUGUCCUUGGGCCACCAGUUUUUUUGUAUGUGUUUUGCUGUUGUUGUGUUGUGUGUGUUGUUGUUGUUGAGACAAAGUCUCACUCUGUCACCCAGUGCAGUAUCACAAUCUCAGCCCGCUACAGCCUCGACCUCAUGGGCUCAAGUGAUCCUCACGCCUCAGCCUCCCAAACUGCUGGGAUUACAGGCAUGAGCCACCAAGCCCCACCUGGCCACCAGUUUUCAAUGUCUGAAUUUCUUCCUACUUGGUAAAAGCCUGGCAUAUGUGUCUCCACACUGCCUCCUCUGGCCCUGGCAGAUAUUGCUUGUCGCUCCCAUCACUUUCCUGCAGAAGCAGAACUCCCUCAGUGCUCCUUACGACCUAGCAUCCAGGUGGUCACCACCAGUCAGCGUGUGCAGUUAGAGCAGAGGAGGCCACCGUUGUCCCAGUCUACUCCAAACCGUCAUUGCAGAGAUGGGGAAGGACUGGCUUUAGCUCACCCAUGUUCAAAGAUGGUCUCAGCUUUUCCCUGGCAACUUGCCCAGGACGAACACAGAGGAAGAGAAAAGGGACUGGCUAGAGGAGGCUGUGCAUGUUUCUUUUCUUUCUUUCUUUCUUUUUUUGACAGAGUCUCACUGUGUCACCCAGGCUGGAGUACCGUGGCGCAAUCUCGGCUCACUGCAACCUCUGCCUCCUGGAUUCAAGCAAUUCUCCUGCCUCAGUCUCCUGAGUAGCUGGGAUCACAGGCGUGUGCCACCACACCCGGCUGAUGUUUGUGUUUUCAGUAGAGACGGGGUUUCGCCAUGUUGGUCAGGCUGGUCUCAAACUCCUGACCUCUUGAUCUACCCGCCUCAGCCUCCCAAAGUGCUGGGAUUACAGGCGUGAGCCACCGCACCUGGCCUGUGCAUAUUAGGUUUCUGUUUUUCCCGUCAAUAUCAUGGGUUUGGAACUGAAGCAUCUUAAAAUGGCAAAUGAGCAGGUGACAGUUGCAGUUUCGGCCACCUGCGUCCACUUCCCACAGGGUCCCUGGGUGCAGUGGGCAAGCGGAUUGUGUGUGAGUGUUGAGGGGAGGGCAGUUAAAUG
rnacentral:lncRNA from 10 species